rnacentral:lncRNA from 1 species
AAGAACCACUUUGCUAAAUAUGAAAUGCAAGCUCAAGGCAGGAACCUAGCAUAACUGUCCUCUGAGAGCUCCACCCAGCAGACGAUGGAAAGAGAUGCAGAGACUCACACCUAAGCAUUACAUGGAACUCAGGAGUCUAGUGGAAGAGUUGAGAGUAAGAUUGACGGACCCGAAGAAGACAGGAACUCCACAGGAAGAUCAACAGAGUCAACUAACCUUGACCCUUGGGGGCUCCUAGAGACUGAAUCACCA